GACGAACGCUGGCGGCGUGCUUAACACAUGCAAGUCGAACGGAAAGGCCCUGCUUUUGUGGGGUGCUCGAGUGGCGAACGGGUGAGUAACACGUGAGUAACCUGCCCUUGACUUUGGGAUAACUUCAGGAAACUGGGGCUAAUACCGGAUAGGAGCUCCUGCUGCAUGGUGGGGGUUGGAAAGUUUCGGCGGUUGGGGAUGGACUCGCGGCUUAUCAGCUCGUUGGUGGGGUAGUGGCUUACCAAGGCUUUGACGGGUAGCCGGCCUGAGAGGGUGACCGGCCACAUUGGGACUGAGAUACGGACCAGACUCCUACGGGAGGCAGCAGUGGGGAAUAUUGCACAAUGGGCGGAAGCCUGAUGCAGCAACGCCGCGUGCGGGAUGACGGCCUUCGGGUUGUAAACCGCUUUCGACUGUGACGAAGCGUGAGUGACGGUAAUGGGUAAAGAAGCACCGGCUAACUACGUG
rnacentral:rRNA from 1 species